CCCGAGGGAUGGGUGCUCCGUCACCUUCCGCCGAACGACUCCUGGGUCCGCUCGCGAGCUGCGGGGACGGCGUUGGGGGGCCGCCGCCGCAGGCCCGGCCUGGGAGUCGGGCUGCUCGGACCGGCCCCACGCGCGCUCGGCCCCCGAAGCGCAGGGCGGUGCCAGAAUGUUCCCGUUUCGUGGGAAUUGAGUAACGCGAAGCCCCUGACUUAGACACACGGACCUUCACCUCCCCGCGGGCCCUGCCUGUCGCAGGGUGCCAUCCCCUGGGAGAGCCCGCCCUGCUCGGAGGCAGGCCUCUGCGGACGGAGCGCCCGCGUCCACCCAGAGGUGCUCCUCCCUCCCGUGGUUCCGGGAGUGAAGACCGGGGCCGAGCGAGCCCUCGCGUGACCGCCUCGCCCCGUGUCCCCGCGUCUGGUUUCUGUUGGGAGCGCUCGGGCCACCUUGGAAACGCGGCGCUGCCGAGCCGCCAGUUGCAGGUUUCAAGAGGGCAUUGACAUGUAGGAUGCCCCGAGAGCUGCUCACCUGUCCUUUCCUGAGGGCAGGCGAAGAAAACCGAGGUUUCUGUCGUUUUAAAACUUUGCGUCUUGCCCGGAAAAAUGCGAGAACUGGAGAAAAUAACUUAAAGGAGAAUGGCGCUCCCUUCUUGCCAGAGGAAGACUCGCAACCCAGCAGAAGCCAGAGGUUCCUCAGUUUACCCUCCUUAGCGUGCCCGCUAGUCUUUUAUGCAGAAGGACUUACAGCAGUGGGAUCCAGAUAUUGUUGAUGUUUUACUUUUCGAAAGAGCUUGAUUUCAGACGUGAUCCACUUACGUUGCAUAUUUAGGUUUAAAAAGCACCGAGCUGAUUGGCCUGCAGCACAGUCCCCUUACCACGUAACUUAUGCCUUACUUCACCGCUGGAAUCAUGUUUUCCACUUCGGCAUUUUUAGCUUACAUGCCUGUCUUAGAUGUCAAGCUGAAAACAAACAAGAGGAUUGUGUUGUCUUGGGCUACAAAAGUUAUCUUGGCUAAAUGUUUUAAGCAGUUCAAAGGAAGACAGCAUAUGGAGCUGUAUAGGAACCAGGGCCACCACAUCAUUCACGGAUUCUAGAGCUGUGGUGGGACGUCCCCUAAGCACAAACCUUACACAUUGGUCUGGGGAGAAUGUAAUCAUUCCUUCCACAACUGCUGCAUGUCCCUGUGGGUGAAACAGAACAAUCGCUGCCCUCUCUGCCAGCAAGACUGGGUGGUCCAAAGAAUCGGCAAAUGAGAGUGGUGAAAGGGCUUCUUAGUGCAUUUGUCCAGAGCCCUGGUGGAUCGCCUUACCAAGUGCCCUACAACGACCAGGACACUCCGGAGGACUAAGUCUUCCAAUAGGAGGAGAUGGAUCUUUGGUCCUUGAGGACUCAUCCAAGGCAUUGGGUUAGCGUUUUGUCAGUUUCAUUUUCAGAAAUUCUCUACAAUUAAGAAGAUAAUUUAUUAAAGAUGGUCUUUCCUAUCUCUGUGGUAUGUGUCACACUGCUUAGAAGUGCUAUAAAGGAGGAGAGAACUACAAAUUGAAUGACCUUUAUAAUUUACUUAUUGAUAUGUAAGGGGCUGUGGAAGCAGUUCCGUUGGAAGAGAACUUUUGCAUGCUUUAACGUUGAUCAGUUAAAAAAAAAAGACAAUGUUAUAAUAACAAAUAAAAUGCAGUUUAAAACCCAACUCUUAUCCUUAAUUUGUUCUUGAUACUUAUUUUAGACAGGAAAGGGGAUGAUUCAUUAAAUAUUUAUUUGAUAGGACAAUUUUAAGUUUGGGCCAGAGAGCAGGGUAAAUAAGAUUUCAUCUUUGGGCAUAUAGGAUUUCGCUUGUCUUUUAGGUUAUCGUUCUCUAUCAUUGACUCAUCAAAAAACCCUAGAUCUGCACACCUCACUGUUCAGUCAUUCAGUGGGAAAGAACAGGGGUAUUUUCAAGUUUUAACCAGAUUAUGGUAUAAUUUAACUGUGUUUCAGGUGUACUGUUAAUAAGGGGGAAAUGUUUACCACUAUAGCAUCGGAUCAAAAAAAGUUUAUUUUAUUACACAGUGUUUUAAUAAACAGUUUAUUCUGUU